rnacentral:rRNA from 1 species
AGGCAGCAGUGAGGAAUAUUGGUCAAUGGGCGAGAGCCUGAACCAGCCAUCCCGCGUGCAGGAAGAAUGCCCUAUGGGUUGUAAACUGCUUUUUCGCAUGAAGAACACCCCUGACGUGUCAGGGGCUGACGGUAAUGCGUGAAUAAGCACCGGCUAACUCCGUGCCAGCAGCCGCGGUAAUACGGAGGGUGCAAGCGUUAUCCGGAUUUAUUGGGUUUAAAGGGUGCGUAGGCGGCUAUUUAAGUCAGUGGUGAAAUCCUGCAGCUUAACUGUAGAACAGCCAUUGAAACUGAAUAGCUUGAGUAAUCUUGAGGUAGGCGGAAUGUGUAGUGUAGCGGUGAAAUGCUUAGAUAUUACACAGAACACCGAUUGCGAAGGCAGCUUACUAAGGAUUUACUGACGCUGAUGCACGAAAGCGUGGGGAUCAAACAGGAUUAGAUACCCUGGUAG